rnacentral:rRNA from 1 species
GACGAACCGUGCGAACGUUGUUCGGAAUCACUGGGCUUAAAGGGCGCGUAGGCGGGCCGCCAAGUCUGGAGUGAAAGCCCACGGCUCAACCGUGGAAGCGCUUCGGAUACUGGCGGCCUCGAGGGGUGCAGGGGCGUGCGGAACUUCCGGUGGAGCGGUGAAAUGCGUAGAUAUCAGGAGGAACACCGGUGGCGAAGGCGGGUCUCUGGGCAGUAACUGACGCUGAGGAGCGAAAGCGUGGGGAGCGAACAGG